AAUAAACGCAGCUAUGAGUUUCCAUGUCCGAUUUUUAUCGCGCGUCUUAUUUAAAUUUUUUUUAUGAUUAGUAUUUUUAUUAUUAUUAGAUUAUAAAACAUGAAUAGUACUUUAUGUGUGAUUUAUGUUUUUUUAGAAAAGAAAUAAAUAAAACGAAUGAUUAAAGUUGUAAACGAAAACUCAUGACUGUGUUUAUU
rfam:Oryza glumipatula chromosome 1, whole genome shotgun sequence.